rnacentral:rRNA from 1 species
ACGUAGGAGGCGAGCGUUGCCCGGAUUUAUUGGGCGUAAAGGGCGCGUAGGCGGCCCGGAAAGUCUUUUGUGAAAUCUCCCGGCUCAACUGGGAGGGGUCAGAAGAAACUGCCGGGCUUGAGGGGAGCAGAGGAGAACGGAAUUCCCGGUGUAGCGGUGAAAUGCAUAGAUAUCGGGAGGAACACUUGUGGCGAAGGCGGUUCUCUGGGCUCUUCCUGACGCUGAGGCGCGAAAGCGUGGGGAGCAAACCGG